UGAGUUUACAGAUGAGGAGUAAGUAACCCUUGGGCCUUACUCCUCAUUUGUAAACUCAGG
rnacentral:precursor_RNA from 1 species